rnacentral:rRNA from 1 species
UGGGGAAUUUUGGACAAUGGGGGAAACCCUGAUCCAGCCAUCCCGCGUGUGCGAUGAAGGCCUUCGGGUUGUAAAGCACUUUUGGCAGGAAAGAAACGUCGCGGGUUAAUACCCCGCGGAACUGACGGUACCUGCAGAAUAAGCACCGGCUAACUACGUGCCAGCAGCCGCGGUAAUACGUAGGGUGCAAGCGUUAAUCGGAAUUACUGGGCGUAAAGCGUGCGCAGGCGGUUCGGAAAGAAAGAUGUGAAAUCCCAGAGCUUAACUUUGGAACUGCAUUUUAACUACCGGGCUAGAGUGUGUCAGAGGGAGGUGGAAGUUCCGCGUGUAGCAGUGAAAUGCGUAGAUAUGCGGAGGAACACCGAUGGCGAAGGCAGCCUCCUGGGAUAACACUGACGCUCAUGCACGAAAGCGUGGGGAGCAAACAGGAUUAGAUACCCUGGUAGUCCACGCCCUAAACGAUGUCAACUAGCUGUUGGGGUCUUCGGACCUUGGUAGCGCAGCUAACGCGUGAAGUUGACCGCCUGGGGAGUACGGUCGCAAGAUU